rnacentral:rRNA from 1 species
UGAUGACGAGACGCUAAGGCGUUGAAGCAGUGUAUGUCAGACUUCCAAGAAAAGCUCGCAAUGUCACAAAUAAGAAAUGCCUGUACCAUAACCGACACAGGUGGGUAGGUAGAGUAUACUAAGGGGCGCGAGAUAACUCUCUCUAAGGAACUCGGCAAAAUGACUCCGUAACUUCGGGAGAAGGAGUGCCUUAUUUAUAAGGUUGCAAUAACAAGAUCCAAGCAACUGUUUAUCAAAAACACAGGUCUCCGCUAAGUCGUAAGACGAUGUAUGGGGGCUGACGCCUGCCCAGUGCCAGAAGGUUAAAGAAGUUGGUUAGUGUAUGCGAAGCUGAUGACUGAAGCCCUGGUGAACGGCGGCCGUAACAAUAACGGUCCUAAGGUAGCGAAAUUCCUUGUCGGGUAAGUUCCGAUCCGCACGAAAGGCGUAAUGAUUUGGAUACUGUCUCGGAGAGAGGCUCGGUGAAAUAGACUUGUCUGUGAAGAUGCGGACUACCUGCACCAGGACAGAAAGACCCUAUGAAGCUUUACUGUAACUUGAAAUUGGAAUUGGACUUUGCUUGCGCAGUAUAGGUGGGAAGCGUUGAAAAUAUUCUUGCGGGAGUAUUGGAGCUAUCAGUGAGAUACCACUCUUGUAAUGUUAGAUUUCUAACUUUGAACCAUAAUCUGGUCAAAGAACAGUUUCAGGUGGGCAGUUUGACUGGGGCGGUCGCCUCCCAAAUGGUAACGGAGGCGUACAAAGGUUUCCUCUGAACGGAUAGAAAUCGUAUCUAGAGUGUAAAGGCAUAAGGAAGCUUGACUGUGAGACCUACAAGUCGAGCAGGGACGAAAGUCGGUCUUAGUGAUCUGACGGUACUGAGUGGAAAGGCCGUCACUCAACGGAUAAAAGUUACUCUAAGGAUAACAGGCUGAUCUCCCCCAAGAGUUCACAUCGACGGGGAGGUUUGGCACCUCGAUGUCGGCUCAUCGCAUCCUGGGGCGGUAGUACGUCCCAAGGGUUGGGCUGUUCGCCCAUGAAAGCGGUACGCGAGCUGGGUUCAGAACGUCGUGAGACAGUUCGGUCCAUAUCCGGUGUAGGCGCUAGAAUAUUGAGAGGAGCCUUCUUUAGUACGAGAGGACCGAGAAGGACACACCGCUGGUGUACCAGUUAUCGUGCCAACGGUAAACGCUGGGUAGCUAUGUGUGGAGUGGAUAACCGCUGAAAGCAUCUAAGUGGGAAGCCCACCUCGAGAUGAGUAUUCUCAC